AUUGAACGCUGGCGGCAGGCCUAACACAUGCAAGUCGGGCGCGCGGAGGACGGGGGAGUAAUGUAUGGGGAUCUGGCUGAAGGAGGGGGAUAAAUACUGGAAACGGUAGCUAAUACCGCAUACCCACAGAUGAACCCAUAUUGGAUUCGGUUGACGGUAAGGUAACGGCGCACCUAGGCGACGAUCCCUAGCUGGUCUGAGAGGAUGAUCAGCCACACUGGGACUGAGACACGGCCCAGACUCCUACGGUAGGCAGCAGGGGGGAAUAUUGCACAAUGGGCGCAAGCCUGAUGCAGCCAUGCCGCGUGUAUGAAGAAGGCCUUCGGGUUGUAAAGUACUUUCAGUCGGGAGGCGUUACCGACAGAAGAAGCACCGGCUAACUCCGUGCCAGCAGCCGCGGUAAUUC
rnacentral:rRNA from 1 species